CAUGGCUCAGGACGAACGCUGGCGGCGUGCUUAACACAUGCAAGUCGAACGGAAAGGCCCUGCUUUUGUGGGGUGCUCGAGUGGCGAACGGGUGAGUAACACGUGAGUAACCUGCCCUUGACUUUGGGAUAACUUCAGGAAACUGGGGCUAAUACCGGAUAGGAGCUCCUGCUGCAUGGUGGGGGUUGGAAAGUUUCGGCGGUUGGGGAUGGACUCGCGGCUUAUCAGCUUGUUGGUGGGGUAGUGGCUUACCAAGGCUUUGACGGGUAGCCGGCCUGAGAGGGUGACCGGCCACAUUGGGACUGAGAUACGGCCCAGACUCCUACGGGAGGCAGCAGUGGGGAAUAUUGCACAAUGGGCGGAAGCCUGAUGCAGCAACGCCGCGUGCGGGAUGACGGCCUUCGGGUUGUAAACCGCUUUCGCCUGUGACGAAGCGUGAGUGACGGUAAUGGGUAAAGAAGCACCGGCUAACUACGUGCCAGCAGCCGCGGUGAUACGUAGGGUGCGAGCGUUGUCCGGAUUUAUUGGGCGUAAAGGGCUCGUAGGUGGUUGAUCGCGUCGGAAGUGUAAUCUUGGGGCUUAACCCUGAGCGUGCUUUCGAUACGGGUUGACUUGAGGAAGGUAGGGGAGAAUGGAAUUCCUGGUGGAGCGGUGGAAUGCGCAGAUAUCAGGAGGAACACCAGUGGCGAAGGCGGUUCUCUGGGCCUUUCCUGACGCUGAGGAGCGAAAGCGUGGGGAGCGAACAGGCUUAGAUACCCUGGUAGUCCACGCUGUAAACGGUGGGUACUAGGUGUGGGGUCCAUUCCACGGGUUCCGUGCCGUAGCUAACGCUUUAAGUACCCCGCCUGGGGAGUACGGCCGCAAGGCUAAAACUCAAAGGAAUUGACGGGGCCCCGCACAAGCGGCGGAGCAUGCGGAUUAAUUCGAUGCAACGCGUAGAACCUUACCUGGGUUUGACAUGGAUCGGGAGCGCUCAGAGAUGGGUGUGCCUCUUUUGGGGUCGGUUCACAGGUGGUGCAUGGCUGUCGUCAGCUCGUGUCGUGAGAUGUUGGGUUAAGUCCCGCAACGAGCGCAACCCUUGUUCACUGUUGCCAGCACGUUAUGGUGGGGACUCAGUGGAGACCGCCGGGGUCAACUCGGAGGAAGGUGGGGAUGACGUCAAGUCAUCAUGCCCCUUAUGUCCAGGGCUUCACGCAUGCUACAAUGGCUGGUACAGAGAGUGGCGAGCCUGUGAGGGUGAGCGAAUCUCGGAAAGCCGGUCUCAGUUCGGAUUGGGGUCUGCAACUCGACCUCAUGAAGUCGGAGUCGCUAGUAAUCGCAGAUCAGCAACGCUGCGGUGAAUACGUUCCCGGGGCUUGUACACACCGCCCGUCAAGUCAUGAAAGUUGGUAACACCCGAAGCCGGUGGCCUAACCGUUGUGGGGGAGCCGUCGAAGGUGGGACUGGUGAUUAGGACUAAGUCGUAACAAGGUAGCCGUACCGGAAGGUGCGGUUGG
rnacentral:rRNA from 1 species